ensembl:piRNA 21ur-4971 ncRNA
UGAAUACUGCCUUUGUGAAUC